rnacentral:rRNA from 1 species
AGCGAACGGACGAGAAGCUGCUUCUCUGAUGUUAGCGGCGGACGGGUGAGUAACACGUGGAUAACCUACCUAUAAGACUGGGAUAACUUCGGGAAACCGGAGCUAAUACCGGAUAAUAUUUUGAACCGCAUGGUUCAAAAGUAAAAGACGGUCUUGCUGUCACUUAUAGAUGGAUCCGCGCUGCAUUAGCUAGUUGGUAAGGUAACGGCUUACCAAGGCAACGAUGCAUAGCCGACCUGAGAGGGUGAUCGGCCACACUGGAACUGAGACACGGUCCAGACUCCUACGGGAGGCAGCAGUAGGGAAUCUUCCGCAAUGGGCGAAAGCCUGACGGAGCAACGCCGCGUGAGUGAUGAAGGUCUUCGGAUCGUAAAACUCUGUUAUUAGGGAAGAACAAAUGUGUAAGUAACUAUGCACGUCUUGACGGUACCUAAUCAGAAAGCCAUGGCUAACUACGUGCCAGCAGCCGCGGUAAUACGUAGGUGGCAAGCGUUAUCCGGAAUUAUUGGGCGUAAAGCGCGCGUAGGCGGUUUUUUAAGUCUGAUGUGAAAGCCCACGGCUCAACCGUGGAGGGUCAUUGGAAACUGGAAAACUUGAGUGCAGAAGAGGAAAGUGGAUUCCAUGUGUAGCGGUGAAAUGCGCAGAGAUAUGGAGGA